rnacentral:lncRNA from 1 species
AUGAGGACCUCGAGCCUUCUGCAGCAGAACCCUGCAGCUCCUUCCCUGUCCCCCCUGCAGCAACGUGGGGCUGGGAUGUAUGGCAGGGCCUGCAGUGCCUCUCCUGCUGCUGCCAGUGUCCGUGGGAUGGCUGUGGCUCCCGCUGAGGGCAGAACUCCGGCUGCAGAUCCCAGCUUGGAGGGCUCCAGACUUGCUGCUCCCCAUGCAGGGCUGGUGGAACACGGAGUGUGGAGCUGUUGGGGGCCAAAGUGGGGCAGAAGGAGCAGCUGCAGCUCUGUCUACACCGAAGAUGUGGCUGCUGGGUGUUGGGAGGGCACAGCGGGGACCUCCGAGGAGGAAGAGGAUGAUGGCAGCAGGCAGGAUGUGUCCCCAGGGUUGAUGAGGAGGGGGAGCCUGGAGUCGCUUGGAGCCAGGAUAUCCAGGCUGAGCCAGAGUGGGGCUGAGACCCCCUGCCCAGCCCCCUCUGAGCACCCAGCACAGGGCAGGGGGGAUGCAUCCCAUUGGGCACCACGCUCCAAGGCAAAGCCCUCAGUCACUGCUUUGCAUGGUGGGGAUGGGGACACUGGACAUCUCUGGACACCCUCAGGCAGCUCAGUCAGCAGGAGCAGGACCAGGGCCAUAGGACAUAGUGGAUGGCAGGAGCCACCAGCACAACGGGGGUGGCAUGGAGGGGAUGUCACCCUCACUGCGGAGAAGGAAGGAGAUGGCAACGAGCGGAGGAGGGCUCUUUGCACCAAAGCAGCAGCAGUGGGACCUGCUGGGAAAUGCAGCCCCCAGGCAGAGGGGCAGCACAGUGUGUCCUGCCCAGGGCAUGUGGCUGAGCCCCAGUGGCAGCGCUGGAAGCAGAAGGCCAUCCUGUCCCACAGGCUGGCAGCACUGAGCCGAGCCCUGCAGAGCAGCCAGGAGGGGAUGUGGGAGCCAAGAGCUGGAGCUCAGGGCAUGCAGAGCAAUGGGGAUGGGGCCAGGGCGUGUGCAUGGGAUUGCGUGGAGAAGGUGGGGUGGAAGGGCUGCGCUGAAUGCUGUGAGAAGAUGAGGAGGAAAACGCUGGAUCUCAGGGAAGAGAAGCAGGAGCUGAAGGAGAGGCUCUGUGGGCUGGAGCUCCAGAUGUGCUCCGUGCUGCGGCAGAGACAGGAGGCAUUAGGGCAACUGCGGGCAGUGCUGCAGAAGGAGAGGAUGGCCACGCUCCAUCAGCUGCAGGAGAGCAUGGAGAAGGUGAAUGGAUGUCAGGAGAACUGUCACCUGAAGGAGCUGGCAGCCCCAGCAGCCCUGAAGGAGCCACUGACCACAGUGAGAGCCCUGCGGGUGGCAGGAGGUCCUGCCCCACAUCCAACACUGCCUGCAGGAGCUGCAAGUAGAGGACCUUGGUGUGCUGGGAGCAGAGCUGGGCACCACAGCAAGUAUAGAGGGGUUCCUGAUGCCACCUCUUGA